rnacentral:rRNA from 1 species
UACAGAGGGGGCAAGCGUUAUUCGGAAUUAUUGGGCGUAAAGGGCGCGUAGGCGGCUUGGCAAGUGGAUGGUGAAAUCCCUCGGCUUAACCGAGGAACUGCCGUCCAAACUGCUUCGCUUGAGACCGGGAGAGGUGAGUGGAAUUCCCAGUGUAGCGGUGAAAUGCGUAGAUAUUGGGAGGAACACCCAUUGCGAAGGCAGCUUACUACACGAUCAUUGACGCUGAGGCACGAAAGCGUGGGGAGCAAACAGG